rnacentral:rRNA from 1 species
UGCAAGUCGUACGAGAGUUUUUAACUCAAGUGGCGGACGGGUGAGUAACACGUAAGAAUUUGCCUUUAGGAGGGGGACAACAACUGGAAACGGUUGCUAAUACCCCAUAUGCUUUCGAGUGAAAUGGAUUUUUCCGCCUAGAGAGAAGCUUGCGGCUGAUUAGCUUGUUGGUAAGGUAAUGGCUUACCAAGGCGACGAUCAGUAUCUGGUUUGAGAGGACGAUCAGACACACUGGAACUGAGACACGGUCCAGACUCCUACGGGAGGCAGCAGUGGGGAAUUUUCCGCAAUGGGCGAAAGCCUGACGGAGCAAUACCGCGUGAGGGAUGACGGCCUAUGGGUUGUAAACCUCUUUUUUCAGGGAGGAAAAAAUGACGUUACCUGAAGAAAAAGCAUCGGCUAACUCCGUGCCAGCAGCCGCGG